GGUGAGAUGGCUCAGUGGGUAAGAGCACCCGACUGCUCUUCUGAAGGUCUUGAGUUCAAGUCCCAGCAACCA
rnacentral:tRNA from 1 species